UCGAUUAAGCCAUGCGAGUCGAGAGUCUUAGGGACUCGGCGUACCGCUCAGUAACACGUGGGUAACCUGCCCUAUGCUGGGGAAUAACCUCGGGAAACUGAGAAUAAUACCCCAUAGUUCACCACGCCUGGAACGGUGGGUGGGUGAAAGCUCCGGCGGCAUAGGAUGGGCCUGCGACGUAUCAGGUUGUAGGGGGUGUAACGUACCCUCUAGCCAUCAACGCGUACGGGUGUUGGGAGACAUAGCCCGGAGAUGGAUUCUGAGACACGAAUCCAGACCCUACGGGGUGCAGCAGGCGCGAAAACUUGGCAAUGCGAGCAAUCGUGACCAGGGAACUCCAAGUGGCUGGGGUAAUACCCAGUUUUUUCUUGACUCUUCAAAGGUCUUGGAAUAAGGGGUGGGUAAGGACGGUGCCAGCCGCCGCGGUAAUACCGGCGCCUCAAGUGGUAGUCGCUUUUAUUGGGCCUAAAACGUCCGUAGCCGGUCUGGUGCAUUCGUGGGUAAAUCAACCCGCUCAACGGGUUGAAUUCUGCGAGCACGGCCAGACUUGGGACCGGGAGAGGUGUGGGGUACUCUCAGGGUAGGGGUAAAAU
rnacentral:rRNA from 1 species